UCGGAGGUCGUCUAAUGGUAGGACUCUGGGUUCUGGUCCCAGCUAUUGGGGUUCGAGUCCCUACCUCCGAG
rnacentral:tRNA from 1 species